AUCGUCAUCUAACUUAUCGAUAAAAUUUAUAUAUUUAGAGGUUUGUCGAAUUAAUAUAAGAAGAAUAAUACGUUAUAAUACGUAAUAAUACGUUAUAAUAAAUUAUAAUUAAAAAAUUAAUAAUAUUUGAGGGAGAUUAUAUGACGUAGAAAAAGAAUAAGAAGGAGAAAAUAUUCUGUGAGAAAUAGAUAUAUUUGAGAAAUAUAUUACAUAUAGUACCAUCAAUAAUUGAAAUAGAAUACGUGUAAAUAAAAAUUGAAGAAGUUGUUUUAUAUUUUGAAUAUAAUGCAAAUUGUAAAGGUAUCAUUUAUAGUGCGUGAUACAUGGAUAGAAUUAAAACAGGAAGAAUAUAAUGACUUUUUUUUAUAUUUAUCAUGUUUUAUAUUUAAUUUCUGGGUUUUAUAUAUAUAUACAAAAUUAUAAGAAAAUAUAAUUUUAAAAGAAAUAAAAUUUUUUUAAAAUUUUGGAUAAAAUUUAUGGAUAUGAAUAAAAAAUUCGAUCAAAUCUUACAGAUGCAUAUCAAGAGAAUAUUAUUCAUAAAAAGAUGGAUAAAACAAAUAAUUUUAUAAAAUAUAUAAUUUGAGUCUGAUGAAUGAACUUUAUCAAAUAUGUUAAUUAUUAUUAUUAUCAUGAAAUUAAUCAGAUAAAUAAAAAAUGUAAAUACAAUAUCUCAAGUGAAAAUGUCUCAUAUUGCAAAUACAUUAGAUAUAACAAAUGCAUUAAACACAUUAUGGCAAAAAUAAAGGAGAUAUUGAAAUAAAGAUAUUUUGAUGGCAUUAAUGACAUCAAAAGCAAUAACACGACAGCAAUUCUAUUUUAUAAAAAUAUUUUUAAAAUAGAAGAGUGGAAAAUAUAUUUGCACAUAUUUGCAGUGCAUAACUUUUCAAGAAGAUUAUUUCAUGUUAUAAUUUUGCCACAAAUUCACCAACUUUAUUGUCAAACCUCGUAGUACAUAUUGUCGCUCACAUCACCGAUACGGAUUCAUCAAGCACCGUCGCGCAAAUGAUCCGAAAACCGCGGAUACCUCGGUGUAUCGUGUAUCCGAGCACUCGCCAUCGAGUUUUCCGCUUCAUCCGAUUCAGCACGCGAUAGGUAGCGGUUGGCGUGUAGACUGCAUCGUGCUGCGCCACUGAUAUUCCCAUGAGUGUGUACAUGCACCCUUUCAGUCUUUGCUUGUCCCUUUCUCUCUACUAGCUAUAUAUCGCUUUUUCGCAACUUCGUGUAUCUCUGUAGAAGCUAAAUCAAAUCGUUUGAAACGUUUGACUGGAAUUAGUCGCUUCUAAAUUUAAAAUUUAGGUGAAUUUCCAGCUUCUGUCACAGGACGCUUUGAAACUCGAUAUUGUAUCAAACGAUUAUUUUAGUCUUGCCUCUUUUAAAAAAGUUUAGAAUACAGAAAUCUUUUUAUCAAUUAAAAGAUUUUAUUCUUAAAUAUCUUUAGUGAUAUCCUAUAACAUCAAUUUUGUUCACUUUUAUUUAAUUUUGAUACAAUUUUUUAAAUCAAUCAAAAUUUUUAAAUCAUAUAAUAGAAUAAUAUGAAAAAAUACAUUGUUAGAAUAUUUAAGCUGCAUCAUGGACGAACGAUUUUUACAAGCGUUUCAAUCAAUUUGACCAACAGACCAUCACGAGAUUUUGUUUAAUCUAUCCUUUGUUUCCUAUUUACUCUUUCAUCGAUAAAUUUACGUUUUUUCUUUUAUUUUUAUUUUUUUUUUUAUCCGGUCAAGCAAUAACGAAUAGCGCGUAUAACGUUUUUCCUCGUUCAACGUAUCGGUUAAAUUUGACAAGAAUGAAAUUUCGAAGAGUGUGUUGGAGAAAUAUACGGAUUUGGUUUGAAACUUGUUGGAAUAAUGGAGUUUCCGUUACAUAGGAAUAACGCGGAUAGGAAGGCGAAUCCUCUGGGUGAAAUAAAACAUUUUUUCCCCCUCUGCUAUUCUCCAUUCUCCAUCGAACGUUUUUAGUCAUUAAACGUACACGCGCUCUCCGCAAACUCUAAUUUCUCAGUGACGAAAUCGAAUUAAUCCUCGCGGAACGGUGGUGAAUUAAAAAUUGAUCGUAUCCGCUUCUACUUCGCUCCAUCGAAUCAAAAUGAAUAGCGGAUGUAUCGCGUCAAAACGAGAAAAAUUGUUUCAUGGUAAUCAUUAAUAUUGGAAUAAUCGAUUCGCGUCUUUUAUGGAAUAUAAUUUUUCAAAUAUUUGAAAAUAUAUAUAAACGUCAAUAUUUAUUCAAUAUCGUUACACGAGACAAAAAUUAAAUGAUUUUAAUUAGUUUCGUUCAGUUCGUGUGCUGUAUAAUUUUUACAGAUGAUAUUUUUUCAUGCGAAAUAAUAUUUUUCACAGGUAUGCAAAAAAAAAAAAAUUGUUUUUGAUAUUUCAAUUAAAAAAAUAAAUGGUAAAAUAAACUUUUAAUCAUUAUGUCAAUAAUUUUACGUUUAUUUUAAUCAAAAAGAACGAACGUUUCAUUCGCGUUUUAUAAUCAAAUUUUUAAAUAUUUUCAGAGAACAUGUUUACCCACGUAUCAGCCAUCCUCUGACGAGAACUUCGACAAACCACGAAUCGAGAUUUAUGGCGAAGCCGAGGAUAGAAAUAAUUUUGGAGGAAGAGCGAGAAUUGCGUGGGAGUAGGAGGUAGUUUCGUUCGAGUAUUUCGCGGCGAAUUCGAGGCGUUCGGGUUCUUUCUUGCCGGGUUGGCAGUCAGUCCAGGGAAACGAUGAAUGUAUUCCUUUCCCUCCCUUCUUUUUUUUUUAUUUUUUCGCGAGCUCGAAGGAGAAAGAGAAAGAGCGAGAGGGAAAUAGGUCUGAAAACGACGACCCUGCCGGCCCAUAGAACGUUUUCAUGCGAGCCUCGUUGCAGCCAAGAUGAGCCAGGGUGCGCUCAGCUAUAGUUUGUUACGCGCGUAUUGUGGAUUUCCUUUUUUCCUCGUUUUAUUCCCCUGCCCUCUAACGUUCCUUCACCGACCUCUCCUCCUUCCAAACCCCUCGUCACCUCUUCUUUUCGGUCGAGGGAACGGGGACGACGGCGCCGUCGCUCCGAGCGUUCAUUUCCUUCCCAUAAAUCUAGCAGCGCGGCUCGGUAAUGGUCGACACGCAGACGAUCGCGAUUCUUCGCAAUAAUUUGUCGCCACGCCACCCCCUCCGGUAUCGAGUGUCGUAACAGGCAAUUGAACUUCCGCCGACUACGUUUUCUCGUGGUGAUCACGUUAACGGGAUGAGGUUACGAUGCUCCAGGUGAAUUAAUUCAUUGGGUUCUAUAAAGGAAAUUUUUCAUUCCGUUGGAAACGUGGAAAUGACGAUACAAAUAUUGUAAUUUUUCGAAUCCGCAAUCUCGAUUAAUUAUCGAGAUAAGUAAAGAAUUAAGUUGCGGGUUUGGAUCGAAAAAAAGGAAAGAUUUCAAUUUUUCGGGAGGAUUUGUUCAUAAAGGGAUCAAGAAUUAUCUUUACUCUGUGCAUUUGGUGGAAUUUUUUGCGCGAAAGUGCAAUCCUUCUCUCUCGUAAAAAGAGAGCUAACGUUUUCAUGAAACUAUUCUUCUCCCUCCCCUCCCCCCUUUUUUGCCCGCAACAGAAGCAGAGAAAAAAACUUCUCAAACUCCUACUACAAAAACGAAAGAAUAUUACGGUCUACUGUGCGCGAGCGUUACUCGUUCUUUUGCACAACGGUGCAACUAUUAUACGGGUUAUAAUUCAAAAUUAACAUCAUUCCUUUCUAUCCUCGUGCUAAACGAAAAAUAAAUAAUUCAACAUCAAGCUCGGAUAAUUACUUCUUUUCUCAGCGUGAAUAUCGUCAAAAACCUCUUAAAACCACCAAAGUGAAGCAAUUCAUCAAAGCAACACGAUACGAAACGUAAAAAAAAAAGGAUGGGAGAACGAAAUAAAAACGACGGAUCGAGUCUGACUUAAACAAGAGCCUCCUCUCCCUCCUCCUCGUAUCUUCUUUUAAUUAAUCGCUUAAAGAAUAAACAAUCUUUUCUUAAUCUUUUCUUAAGGGAUGAACAACACACGUACCGAUUACUUCCGACUAAUUCAUAAUUUAUUUUUCUACCUUCCGACAAUUUUCAAUCGAUCACCGAAUAAAUAAGUCGGGGAAAAAAAAAAAAAAAAAGAAAAGAAAUGGGGAAGAAAAA